CCUACGGGUGGCAGCAGUGAGGAAUAUUGGUCAAUGGGCGCGAGCCUGAACCAGCCAAGUAGCGUGAAGGAUGACUGCCCUACGGGUCGUAAACUUCUUUUAUAAAGGAAUAAAGUGAGGCACGUGUGCCUGUUUGUAUGUACUUUAUGAAUAAUGAUCGGACAACUCCCUGCCAGCAGCCCCGGUAAUACGGAGGAUCCGAGCGUUAUCCGGAUUUAUUGGGUUUAAAGGGAGCGUAGAUGGGUUGUUAAGUCAGUUGUUAAAGUUUGCGGCGCAACCGUAAAAUUGCCAUUGAUACUGGCAGCCUUGAGUACAGUUGAGGUAGGCGGAAUUCGUGGCGUAGCGGUGAAAUGCUUAGAUAUCACGAAGAACCCCGAUUGCGAAGGCAGCUUACUAAACUGCCACUGACAUUGAUGCUCGAAAGUGUGGGUAUCAAACAGGAUUAGAUACCCUAGUAGUC
rnacentral:rRNA from 1 species